AUUGAACGCUGGCGGCCGGCCUAACACAUGCAAGUCGAACGAGUGGCGGACGGGUGAGUAAUGUCUGGGAAACUGCCUGAUGGAGGGGGAUAACUACUGGAAACGGUAGCUAAUACCGCAUACCAUCAAAUGUGCCCAGAUGGGAUUAGCUUGUGGGUGGGGUAACGGAUCACCAAGGCGACGAUCCCUAGCUGGUCUGAGAGGAUGACCAGCCACACUGGAACUGAUACACGGCCCAGACUCCUACGGGAGGCAGAAGUGGGGAAUAUUGCACAAUGGGCGCAAGCCUGAUGCAGCCAUGCCGCGUGUAUGAAGAAGGCCUUCGGGUUGUAAAGUACUUUCAGCGGGGAGGCGUUACCCGCAGAAGAAGCACCGGCUAACUCCGUGCCAGCAGCCGCGGGAAUAC
rnacentral:rRNA from 1 species